rnacentral:rRNA from 1 species
AUUGAACGCUGGCGGCAGGCCUAACACAUGCAAGUCGAGCGAGCGGCGGACGGGUGAGUAAUGUCUGGGAAACUGCCUGAUGGCGGGGGAUAACUACUGGAAACGGUAGCUAAUACCGCAUACCAUCGGAUGUGCACAGAUGGGAUUAGCUAGUAGGUGGGGUAACGGACAACCGAGGCGACGAUCCCUAGCUGGUCUGAGAGGAUGACCAGACACACUGGAACUGAGACACGGUCCAGACUCCUACGGGAGGCAGCAGUGGGGAAUAUUGCACAAUGGGCGCAAGCCUGAUGCAGCCAUGCCGAGUGUAUGAAGAAGGCCUUCGGGUUGUAAAGUACUUUCAGCGGGGAGGCGUUACCCGCAGAAGAAGCACCGGCUAACUCCGUGCCAGCAGCCGCGGUAAUAC